CAUUAAGUCACCGAAAUUAACCAGAGCACGCCAGUGCAAAGGGCCAAACAGUGGCCCUAAGGACAGAAAACCUGAAUAUCUACAGACCCUUUCCUGCAACAUUAAGCUGUGUUUAGUUGAAGUUUACUAAUUUAAGAUUUUGCUUCUUCCUCAGACUGACCAAGAACACAAGAAAGUCUCCCGCCUUUUAGACGAAGACGUUUGUUAGAAUCUCAGAGUUUUCGCUGCGCUCCGGGGAUUCAGAGAUCAUCCAAGGUGACCUUUUCACUUAGCAGAUGGGGUGAAGGCCUGGGAGCCCGGACUACCCACCCGUUAGUGCAGGAGCUGAAAUUAGAAUCUGCCACCCAGCUCCUCCCCAAUCUCUUCCCUAUUUUAUCUGGCUCCUGCGGAGCUACAAUCACCCUGAACUGGGUGGGGCCUUGGAGGCUCGGAUUCGACAUUUACUGACUUCCAGGGAAGACUGAGACUGCUUGACUUUACCUUUUCUCUAAAUAUAAACGCAGCCCAGAAAUGAAUGAACUGUAGAUUAGCAGUGACCUCGAGUUUUAAAAGCAACACCACCCUCUAGUGAGAGUCUGAGAACUACAUCCAUAACACCGAAAGCGCUCCCAGGCGACAGGCAAAGGACAAGGAGGGCAAAUUUCAGUCUGCCCUUCCGACCAACAGGCUAGAGGAAGGAAACAGAGGGCGCCCAACUCCACAUGUAAGUAUCCAAAUAAAAAACAAGCGGACGCCUGGACGCAGGAUCCGGGCCGGGCGGUACUUCUCCGCGGA
rnacentral:lncRNA from 1 species